GACAGAGGUGCCGAGCGUUAGGCGGAAUCACUGGGCUUAAAGGGUGCGUAGGCGGGUCCGUCAGUCAGGGGUGAAAUCCCACGGCCCAACCGUGGAAGUGCCCCUGAUACUGCGGGCCUCGAGGGGGAUAGGGGCGUGCGGAACUCAGGGUGGAGCGGUGAAAUGCGUAGAUAUCCUGAGGAACACCGGUGGCGAAAGCGGCGCGCUGGAUCCCAUCUGACGCUGAGGCACGAAAGCCAGGGGAGCGAACGGG
rnacentral:rRNA from 1 species